AUUUGUCUGGCGGCAGNGGUAGAGCGCACCCUUGGUAAGGGUGAGGUCCCCAGUUCGACUCUGGGUAUCAGCACCA
rnacentral:tRNA from 1 species